UUCGACUCAAUUUCAAACCUGACAAGAUUUAGUCCUAUUUGAAUGGCGCUUUGUUGGUUUUUGGUUUCUAGGUUGUUGUUAAUUGUUUAUACUUUCUGGAUUUUGAUUUUGGGUUUUCUAGAUUUUGGUAGAUAUGAAAUAUAGUGAUUACUAAUUACUAGUAUGUAGAUGUGAAAAAUUAGGGAUUAUUUGUUUCUAGGUUCUCUAAGCCAAUGGUUUUUGGAUCCAAAAUCUUUGUCCAUGUUGGGUUAGAAAUUCAUAAGUAUGAUCCCUUGGCCUUAUUCUCGCUCUUGCAUUGUGUCAGAUCUUUUUCACAGGUUCAGAUUUUUGGAGCUGGUGUUCGUUUCUUCUCUGCUGGUAUGACACAUCUACUCUGCGUAUCUGUUCCUGCAUUGUGUGUUGCAGGUCGAUUAUUACUGUUAGAAAUCAGCAAGCUUUAUCGAUUUUGUUUUGUGAGCCAUUGGCGUAUCUUUCGGCUCUAUUUAGUUUGUUCUUCUAUUACAUACAUGAAUCAUGGGUGGAUUUCUUUAUCUAGUUUAUGAAUUGAUUUGGUUUUCUUGUUUGGAAAUGAGCUCUUUGUAUUAAAUAAUUAUACAAAAAUGAUAUAUAAGUUUUGUGCAGGCUUAUUAAUGUCAAUUAACAUUGGAGAACUUGGCAUUUCCUAUUAGCAAGAAAGGGGCAUAGUCGCCAAAAUCAAGUUAGCAUUCAUUAAUUCUCAACUCCAAGCAGGUUCCAAAUGCUUCCAGUAUCUCUGAUAUAACGAAUUCUGCAAGUAUCCAAACACUAAUGAACACUACAAGAAAAUUGCCCUAUACCCAUAGCAAUUUGGAGGAGGCUUACUCUCCCAUCCAAAUCAGCUCAUGGUAAUGCUAAGAUGAAAAGCACUGAUGGAUUCUUUUGAAGACAUAAAAUAACCAUGUUCAAGUGUAGAUUCAAGUCAUCAUUCAACAAGGUUGAAAAACUCAAAAGUGAAUUCAAAA